CAAACAGAGCGUAAUGGCAUGUUUCAUUAGGUCAGGCUUCUCUCACAGGUCUUCACAAGGGAUUAUUGGUCUGUGGAGAUUUGGUUUGUGAGUCUUUAGUUGUUUAUAUUGGAAUUUCUACAUGAGUGUACUAGUUGAGUCCCCUUAGAAUAUAACGUAGUUGGUUUGACUGUGCCUGACAUGAGUGGUUUAUUAUAUAGGGUCAAAAAGGACGUGUUCCCUGCACAACCUGUGACAGUAGUGAUGAAGUAAUUUUUACUGGGCACUAUUUAGUGUCGGUAGGAUAUAGUGGAAUUUUUACCGGAGGACCCAUUUGACUAGUUUUAGUGCAUCUUAGUAU